CAGUAGCCGCGGGAAUACGUAGGGUGCGAGCGUUAAUCGGAAUUACUGGGCGUAAAGCGUGCGCAGGCGGUUAUAUAAGACAGAUGUGAAAUCCCCGGGCUCAACCUGGGACCUGCAUUUGUGACUGUAUAGCUAGAGUACGGUAGAGGGGGAUGGAAUUCCGCGUGUAGCAGUGAAAUGCGUAGAUAUGCGGAGGAACACCGAUGGCGGAGGCAAUCCCCUGGACCUGUACUGACGCUCACGCACGAAAGCGUGGGGAGCAGACAGGAUUAGAGACCCCAGUAGUCCCUGUCUCUUAUAC
rnacentral:rRNA from 1 species